UCUGGUGACAGCAUACCAAGAGGGGUUGGCGCCUGGCAGUUGCCUUGGCAACAAGUGGUGUUGACCCAGAAGCCAAAGCCAACACCAUAGGUCAGGGCAUAGAUGGAGUUGCCAAAUUUGCAGUCCUUGGAGGUCACGCAGAAACCGUUUCUCCAGGAGACAGGAUUACCUUCCCCAAAGCCUGGAGAGAGAUGGAGGCCAGGCUAGUGAGACUGGAGGUCAGAAGUACAAAAUGUGUCUCAUGUAAUCAAAAUCAAGGUGUCAGCAGAGCAGUGCCCUGGUCAAGAGACGUUCGGAGCUGGGGAAGCCCCCGAAACCCAUGGGCCUCACCCAUGAUCCCACAGGCAGGCAAGAGCCGGGUGAGGCCCAGGUGAGUCACGAGGAGGAAGGAGCCGACAUCCCUGCCGUGUUUCUGGAGAGUGUCCAGGUCCUGAUCCCUGCAUUUCCCUUCCCUUUACACGUCAGCAGAACCUUACAGGUGUGUGUGUGUGUGUCACUCGAGGGAGAGACAGAGAGAAAGAAUCAGAAACAGAAACAACGACACAGAAAGAGAAAGAGAGCCAUGGGGAGACACAGAGAAAAGGGAGAAGCAGAGAUAAAAAGACAUGAAGAGAGAGACAAACAGAUACAGAGAUGGAGGUUCAGAGAGAGGAAGUGAUAGAGUUGGAGAGAGACACAGAUAGGCAUUGACAGAGAUAAAGAGGGACAGAGACAAAGAAAAAGGACGAAACAAAGAGAUAGAAAAAAGACAAAGACAGACACAGGGAGAGACAGAAAUUUCAGGAGGCGAGGGCAGCCUUGGGCAGGGAUGAGUGAGCUCUGAAAUACCUCUCAUUCAUUAAAGAGGAAAUUGACUGAGCAUGGUGGCUCACACCUGUAAUCCUACCACUUUGGGAGGCCAAGGCGGGAGGAUCACUUGAACCCAGCAGUUCAAGACCAGCCUGAGCAGCAGACCAAGUCCCCAUUUCUACAAAAAACACGAAAUAUGAGAAAAUAGCCAG